GAAAUCCGGUAGACGCUACGGACUUAAAUAAUUUGAGCGUUAGUAGAAAAACUUACUAAAUGCUAGCUUUCAGAUUCAGGGAAACUUAGGUUGAUAAAAAUAUAAGCAAUCCUGAGCCAAAUCUUAUUUCGUUUGAAAAUAAAAUAGGUGCAGAGACUCAAUGGAAGCUAUCCUAACGAAUAACAUUUUAAAAAUUAUUUAAAAUUUAUUUUUUAGAUAUUAAGCGAGGAUAAAGAUAGAGUCCAAUUUUACAUGUUAAUUUUAGCAACAAUUUAAAUUGUAGUAGAAAGAAAAUCCGUUGGCUUUAUUGACCGUGAGGGUUCAAGUCCCUCUACCCCCA
rnacentral:tRNA from 1 species